rnacentral:rRNA from 1 species
UAAUACGGAGGGGGCGAGCGUUAUUCGGAAUUAUUGGGCGUAAAGGGCGCGUAGGCGGCCCUGUAAGUCAAAGGUGAAAUCCCUCGGCUCAACUGAGGAACUGCCUUUGAAACUGCAGGGCUUGAGUCCGGGAGGGGGUAGCGGAAUUCCCAGUGUAGCGGUGAAAUGCGUAGAUAUUGGGAGGAACACCGGUGGCGAAGGCGGCUACCUGGACCGGCACUGACGCUGAGGCGCGAAAGCGUGGGGAGCAAACAGGAUUAGAUACCCUGGUAGUCCACGCUGUAAACGAUGGGUGCUCGGUGUCGCGGGUAUCGACCCCUGCGGUGCCUUAGCUAACGCGUUAAGCACCCCGCCUGGGGAGUACGGUCGCAAGGCUG